GUUAGUGGGUCUACUUAUGUUAGACAUGUCCACCAAAUUUUAUGUUGCUAAGUGAAACUGGUUGCAGGGGACUUCGAUGGACCCCGGAAAUGGCCAAAUGACCCUAAAAUUAGGGUUGGGCAUCAAGAAUCGAUUGGGACCGGGACUAACAUUCCGGUUCUCCCGGAAUCGUUCAAAUUAAAACAUUUUGGUUCCCAGUUUCGUUGCCUGGGCCGUCGAUCCCGAAGAAGAAGGGGCAAAAACCAACGAAGACGUGUCGAAAACCAAGGAAAAAGAACACGCAUUACAAUGUAGCAUCUGACACACUCCCUCCCACUCCGAGCCUCACCCUACACCGCGCCGAGCUUCGGUGGAGUCAACUCUCAGUCAAUUGGGACCGCCAAAGGUGGGGGGAAUUCUUCUUCUCUUUGAACUCUAGAAUGGCCGUUUGGACCAUGUUGCAGCAUGCCGGGACAUCCCAACUGCACCCCCACCACCCACCCCCAAAGGAAAAAAAACACCGUCUUCUACUAUAAACACUGACUGAACAUGUUGGCUGCGACAAAUGAUCCCCUUGAAAAAGAGUUGUGAACCAUCCAGUCACAGUUUGGCCUUGGAACAUCUCAAUCCACUCCAUUACAUAUGUCUUCAACAUGCAACGCAGAUAAUACUGACCAGGAUCCCAAACUCUGAAACUGAAGAUGACGACAGUACCUCAGUUGUGGAUUAAAGUGUCAUUAUAGCUCAUCAAAAUCUAAAUGCCAUACGCUGAAGAAAACCCUAAUUUCUGUAAAAACAAGUAUCCAGAAGAAGCAAUUGUCACCGAGAUGCACUAUAAAUCCCCCUCAUUUUAUUGCAGCCAUAAAACUUUAAAUCACUCCCUUGCAAAAUUUACAAAAAAAGUUGAGUUAGUCCACUCCAGUUCUCAGUGGCUCAAUAAAGCAAAAAUACACAAAUGUUAUUUUAAGUAGAAGAGCGAGCAGGGGUAACGUUUGCAAGUGACAUUCCUUACAAUACAGG